rnacentral:lncRNA from 1 species
GUCAGACCUGAUGGGAGGAAUAAGACCCUCAAUUAACCGGCGAACCCCCUCACGAGUAGUAGCCACGAAAGCCGGCGCAUGUCUGGCCAACCUAGUAUAACGGAUGGCAUACUCAGAGACAGUCAUAGGGACCUGGAGAAAAUGCUCAAACUCCGCGUGCCAUGCAUCUCAUAGGCUCUGGGGAACAAACUCCCUCUGAAACAUAUCUGAAAACUAAGUCCAAGUCA